CAACAUCUCCAAGUUGUUUACAGUAUUGUUAUGACAACAACACGUUUUCUGCUUUCAUUAAUUAGAGAGGGCAAGUCACGUGACGUGACACAGCUUUCACUUCCGGAUUCUGUGACAUUUGAUCAACGUCGGAUCUAAUUCAAAAAUGUGAUUUCGCAAUAAAUAUCGAUCUAUUUCAACCACGACAGAAUCUCAGAAGACAUCCCUGUAAAAGAAAUCACACCAGAAACAUCAUCAAGGGACAUGCUCCAUGGAAGAGAUAAUCCUGGAUAUAUAAACCUGCAAUAGAUUUACUGAGAAAUGCUUUUUUCUGUAUGAGAUUAUCAGUAACAAUUCUCUACUCUGCUGUCUGGAAUAUGUUUCAGAUGAAUUUACAUUCUAAGUAAACUCGGAUGACAGAGUGGUCCGUGGCAUCUUCGGAAAUUGACGAAGAUCACUGUUGAUGUAAAGAUGGCAAUUUGUUAUGAAUGAAGUAUUGG